rnacentral:pre_miRNA from 1 species
UCUUUAGUGAAGGUAAAGGGUGAAAGGGAGAAAAGAAAGGUUGUGGGAUAGGUAACUGAGACUCAACACCACGUGGCUCCGUCUUCUGCCUCAGA